rnacentral:rRNA from 1 species
UGGGGAAUAUUGCACAAUGGGCGAAAGCCUGAUGCAGCGACGCCGCGUGAGGGAUGACGGCCUUCGGGUUGUAAACCUCUUUCGACUCCGACGAAGCGAAAGUGACGGUAGGGGUAGAAGAAGCACCGGCCAACUACGUGCCAGCAGCCGCGGUAAUACGUAGGGUGCGAGCGUUGUCCGGAAUUACUGGGCGUAAAGAGCUUGUAGGCGGUUUGUCGCGUCGUCUGUGAAAACUCGCAGCUCAACUGUGGGCGUGCAGGCGAUACGGGCAGACUUGAGUACUGCAGGGGAGACUGGAAUUCCUGGUGUAGCGGUGAAAUGCGCAGAUAUCAGUGAGGAACACCGGUGGCGAAGGCGGGUCUCUGGGCAGUAACUGACGCUGAGAAGCGAAAGCGUGGGUAGCGAACA